UCCAAGCUAGCUACUUUAAAGUAUUUCUGUGCUGUUCAUUCAAGGCUUCAUAUUUACAGCAUUGAACAUGGAAGGUGUAGCAGAAAUGCAAGUCAUGGCCUGAAGCAGUGAUUGAGCACCUGGUGGGAAGGCAGGGCCAACCCAGGGGAGCUCAGGUGCAUGCAGUGGAGCCAGGAUCCACCCCUUCCCAGCCCUCACUUAAGGGCUGGCAGUGGAGGUGAGGGGACCAUGCUGGAGAUCCCUGCAUAACUGAGGCCUUCUAAAGGCCACAUACAAAAGAAAAGGGAUGAAGAAAUGAGAGAAACAUUAUCCAAGGUUGAAGAAAUGUAUUCUUCAGUUUCCCGGUUAACAGACUCUCCGGAGCGUGACUCAUAAGCCCUUGCAGCUCAAACAGCAUUGCAGAAUGAGCUACCAGCAACCUCUUUGUCCUUCACGUGAUGUUACUGAAUCAGCUCAAGAUAAUUCAUACCUUGGAGCAGCCUCACAUUGCAAGAAGGAGCGUUAUUUCUCAACAUAGAACAAACAGAAGACAGAAUUAACUCCAUCUUAUAGCUGCAUUACCACCCUGCUAUUCACUUCCUGACUUCAGCUCAAGUGCCUACAGGCCCUGUCCUGCUAAGCUCUGUACAAGGCCUGACAUUUGACACCCAAGACCCCAGGACUUACACAGAGGCACAAGCGGAGGCCCUGGGGAAGAGGAGAUGCAGCUUACUUGCUGUGAACUGCCCUGGGCUGGUGCGUGCAUGUGAGUGCCAGCUGCUCAUGUUUAGCAUCGAAUCCUUGUGCGAUCACAAGCAACUUAAUCAGCUUUGCAUCUAAAGGGGUUACCAUCACUGAUGACUGACAGACAUCUUUCCACUGGUUUCAGUGUAUUAAAAGUCCAAUUGAAAGUGGCAGGAUGGCUGGGAGAGGAUGAGGGAUAGGAGCUGCAGUGUGAUUCUACUCCAGAAAGGCAUCCCAUGAGAAGUUGACCUAUGGACUCUGCCAAAAAAAAUCUUCCAUGUGAACUUGAGUUUGCAAGGCCCUUUUUUCUUUCCCAAAAACUCUGCGUUCUGAAAAAGGACAUCUGUGACAAGAUGGAACUUGGCACCAGUAACUUAUGUACUAUGGGUGAAGCAUGCUCAGAAGAGGCAGACCCAGAGGUAGUCCUGCAUCUUGUAAAUGGCUCUGGGUGAAUCCAAAGAAUUGCAUGUGAUUUGUCAGAGUCUUCACAACCUUUGAAUGGUGACUGACUAAGAGUUGUGGUUUGAGAUUGCUGUUUGAGUAAUAGCGAACACAUUUUAAAGAGAUCCUGGCAGGGACACAGGCUGGUCAAGAUAGCCUGGAUGAUACUGAAGUGGUUGGAAGUGAAUCUGGAUGGAUUGAACUCAUGGCUCACUCAGAAUCAAGAUCAUAAAAGCAUGGCAUGGUUUGAGUUGGAAAGGACCCUUAAGGGCCAUCUAGUCCAACUCACCUGCAAUGAACAGGGACAUCUACAGCUUGAUUAGAGUGCUCAGAGGAGGGAAAGGACAAUAAAAGCAUUUGUACACAAAAAUACUCUGAGCCACAGAGGCGUUUUUAAGAUAAAUGGUAAAACUGAACUGGAAAUCCAUCUGGCCAGCUGCCUGAUCUAAUGAAUAACCCCACUUUGGCUCCUGCAAUGUAAGCAGAAAGAGUUCUCUCCCGGCCGCUUUCGUCUGUCAUGAAUCUACAAGACAGCCGACAUAAUAUCUGGGCGACAACAGCGUGCUAACAGUGCAGUGACUUCCAUUUUCUUUGCUUUCUAUUGAUUUUCACUUAAUAACUGGCGAAAUACUAAACGUCCGCCCUGAGUACCUAAUAAAUCCUGCCUGAGCUUUUUAUUGAGGAGAAUUUAAUAAAAACAACCAUUGUGGCUGAGGGAUUUUUCUUCUGGACAGAACACGGUGAGGGGUGGGUAGUGUGUGUGAGUAAGGGGGGAGAGACAUUUGAAUUUUCUAAUUUUUUUUUUGCAAGCUUUUCCCCCCUCCCUUCUCGUCACUGCCCUCUUGAGGACUCAACAUCAUUUGUUUCAGAGAAACUUGGCUUCUUUCCUUUGCUUAUGUUUUCUCAUUGUCCAGAGAUGGCCACAGCACAUGCACGUGUAGUCACAAGACAGAGAAGAAGGGUGUUUACAGAAGGAAGACACUUCCAUCACGACCAUUCUACUCUCCCACAUUUGCUUCUUUAAUCUGAUUUCAAUUUUGAUAAUUGUUAUGAAGGUUCUCUAAUUGCCAAGUGCAGGGGCUGUCAGAAUUCUACAGUAACACGCUUUUUAUUGUCCCAUUUUACAGCUGUUUUACGUUUGACACUUGACACACAGGCGUGAAGAUCCCCUGUCGUAUUGGUUGGCUACUGUAACAAAAUGGCAUUUUUAAGUUAUACGAAGUGUUAAAUCUGCAUCCAGUUAAAACCAUAACAAAACAAAACCCGGUGGUUUCUAAGUUGACAAUCCUAAUUGUUAGCUUGGGAAAAAAAAAAAAAAAAAAAAGCUGGAAAAACAAAAGUAAAAGGCCCCAAACCCUCUUUCUCUAGCUGUCCACUAAGCAUGCGUAUGAAUGUUGAUAUAUAUGUUACAUGCAGUUUUCUUUUCUGAAGAUGAAUCAGGAGAGACUGGGAUGACAUUCCUAAGUACAACAUAUUAUUUCCUUUGUAUAACCUCCUGGAAUGGCUCUCUUUGCCAAUAAACUCAACGGAGUUCCUAUUAUACAAAGCUGCUCUUUUAAAGCAUUUGACAGUUUUUAUUUUAAUUGACACAGAAGCAGUUUCAAAGUCAUUGGGUUUAAUGAACAAUCAUCUUAGCAUUUGCCUGCUCAAAUCCUCUUAUUCCCAGCAGUUCACAGUAAAGUUUAUUCUAACAGUUGAAAUUAAAAAAGGAGAGAGAGGCAAGUAGAAAUGUUGAGGAGCUUAUAUAAAAAUCUGUGAAUCUCAAGUUUUGUGCAGUGCUGUUAUGAAAACUACUCAGCCGUGCAAAGCAAUAAGAGGUUUAAUUACUCAUUGGUAGUCCCUCUGCUGCUCCUGAUGUGGUGUGUGGUGUUGCAGAGGCCUGGGAGAGAUAAUUGAGGCAUAUGGGUGGAGUACAGCACUGAUUUGGCAGCUCGUUUAUUUUUUUCUUUUGUGUGUGUGUGUGCCACUGACUGUGUCACUUCUCCUAUGGGAUGGAAGGUGCAACAGUUCAUUGUGGAAAAGUAUCAGUUGAUGACAGAUCCUGGUUCAAGCUGUGCAAGGAUCUUGUAGCUGUGGGAUGGGGUUCAAGUUCCAGAGAGGAUGGAUGGUCUCAUGAGACUUUCACGUGACUUGUGCCUGACACUGGGAGAGUAUUGUGGAGGGAGUGGGGUGUCUCCUGGUGUUCUGGCAAGUCUACACUAUCUUAAUCUCAUGAUCACAAGAAAUAGCUUGAGAAUGAACCAAAAAGAUCAGCUUUCAGAUUUGGCUUAAUCAAUCUAGUUUAGACACUACUGGGCUCAAUAGUCUAGAAUUUAUUGUCUCUUAAUAGGCAUAACACUAGUGACAGUUAUGGUCUUACCCAUCUAUGAGGUAUGAUGGGGGUAAAGAAAAUCACACAGUCAUUGAACCUACCAAAUCUGGGCCCUAAAAGCCACGCAGAAGGAGUUUUCAAAUCCAGAAAUUCUGAAGUUCAUUUCUGGUUUGAUAUCCAUUUUUAUGUGAAUUAGUUCAUGAACCAGUUCCAUGUGGCAACUCCGUGAGUAUCAGAAAGUACUAAAAUUUCUGCUCUGGUUUAUUGCUGAAUGCUAAUGAUAUUCAGCAGCUGGAAAUUAAAAGGGACACACUUGUGGGAUGCGACCAAAUUACCCUUCACAGCUAACCUUCAAGUGCAACCUGUCUUUAGAGAUUGCAGACCUCUUUCCUAAACCAAAAUCUUUCUGCAGUUUUUACCAAACGGAUAAAACCAGAAAAAAGAAAAAAAAAAAAAUAUCACGAUCUAAAUGGAGUAAUAGAGUGACAGGACAUAUUUGCAUUCUGAAUAGAUUAGCUGGUCUUUUAAAUAUUUAUUUGUGUCUAUUUUCAAAGUCCUUGAUUCUCUGAAAUUUUCCAAACACUUCUGAUUUGACAGACUGGGAAAUCUGUCUGCAGUUCCAAUUAUACUUGAAAAGAUACAUACAAAUGAUUUGACAAGUUAAAAAUUAGCAGCAAGUUCUAUACCUAGCUAGAUUUUGUAAGCAGCAGUCAUAAUUCAUGAUACUUCAUUCUAAAGUUCAUGUAAAUUCUGUGUGUGUGGGAUCCUUUAAUUGGUAAGCAUAAAGGUGUAUUGCUAUUCACCUAAUGUAUUCUAUUGCUCAACAAAAGGUUGUUGUAGUGAGCUCUGAUUGUGACAAAUGAUUUACUAUUAGGAACAUUCUGUAAUUAUUGUUCGGUGGUACCACAGACCGAUACAUCAUUAACAUGAUAGACGACCUUUUAUAUCAGCAAAAAUAACUAAAUUAAUAAAAAUGGCUUCAUUCCAAACCCUGUCAGAAAGCCAAUACUCGAAACAAUCAAGUAUCAGUGAUACCUGAAAAGACCAGAGUUAUAUUUUUGUUAAGCAAAUCUUAUUGUUUGAGCAAUAACAUUGACAUGUGCUGUAGAAUGGGGGGCUGGAUUUUCAGCUGCUGCGAAUCAAUAGUCUAAUUAAUUCUAUUUAAGAAGAGACACACUACUCCACAUCUGUGAGGGGUAUGAUAUGUUGGAUUUUAUUGUGUUGCUAAAGGGAGGUACGAUGCAAAUGAAGUGUCAGAAAACUUUUCAAGAAUUCUGGGAACUGCUGCAAGUGCAACUGCUGCUGGUUCUUCAGACAGAUUCUGUUCCCAAUUGCAUCCACACAAAUCCAGUGUGACUCUACUAAAUGAAAUACUUCCUCCAAAUUUACACUGGUGUCAUUUGAGUUUGCAGAGGCCAGACUAACUCUUAAACCAUGACAAUUUAGAAGAGCGCCCAAAGACUUGAUUUUUUUUUUCUACCACAGAAAAAAAAUUCAGACCGUUCUGGGCAAUUCUUCUAUUGUAUUGUAUUCCUACAUUCAUCCUUUCAUUCCAGAUGAAUUCCUUCCUCUUGUCAUUCCCACCAAGCCACUCACUACCAAGGUAGUUCUAUUAUUCCUGAGCUUCUCUCAUAAUUCAUUUGCAAACAUUUUUUGUAUAGGAAGCUCCUGCUUCACAGUGGUUUUGCCAGGAACUUUUUUGAGUCAGUUAUUUGGGAGUUAUCACUGGAAUCUAGGGAAGAAAGGAAAAGCUUUUAUGGAACUUUAUCACAUAAUAUAACUAGUCAAGAAAUCUGUUUGGUCCACUACGAUGUUCAAAAAUCCUUUGAGGAACUUGAAGAAAUGCUGGAACACACAGCUAUUCUUCUACUAGAUCCAGAUCCAGAUGGAUAGAAUGCCCUAUUGUGAAUGCCUGGCCACUAGACAACAUUAGCUUCACAAGAAGUCUGGAGGCUAUAGUUAACCUGGAAAAGCAUAGCUCUGAACUGGAAACUGAGAGAACCUACAGCAAAAUGUAAAUGUGAACUCAUGUGAGUGAGGAGGUGAAGCACUGUUCUGUAAAGAAAAUCAUGCAACAGCCCCUGGAGCCAUGGCCCUGUUGAUUAAGGCACUAGUGUGAACUUUCUUUGUAGCAAGGUCUGUAGAUGCUUUUAAUUUCAAUAUAAUAAAAGGAAAUUAGGCAGGUAUCAAGACUAUUUCUAUUUUCCAGCAACAAAAAGAAAAAGCAAGCCUUGUUAUUUGAGCAUUUUCUUACAUGGAGAUAUUAAAUAAAUCUUGUGGCUUAUUUUUCUUUUUUUUUGAAUAGGUCCUGAUUUUCCAGAUUUUACACUCAAAGAGAUAUACUUUAUUCAGCUCUUCUAGACUAAGGCUGGACUCCUUCCUAGCCAUAGAUAGAGAUUCUUUGAAAUUGUUUUCAAAGUCCAGUGCUGGCUGAAACUAUUUUAGGUCUUGUCUUUGCUACCUUGGCCCUAUCUGAAAGGAAGAAGUUUGCCCUUGAAAGAGAGUUAAACUGCUGUGAUUCACCGACUUGGAAGAAUUGCAGGAUGCUGACUGCCUGAAGUGGUGCCUCCCGCUGGACCAGUGCAAGUUUCCUUCCUUCUUGUCUGACCAAGCCAUUAAGAAGUUAGUCAGUUCCCUGAAGGUUACUUCCAAGGAAUCUACAAAAAGGAAAUAUCCAGCCCUGGAAAGGUAAUUUACCUAGACAGGACUUGAAAUGCAAGGUACUCAGUUGAGGGAAGAAAGUCCUAUAUCCCAUCUGGCUGCAAGAAUGCAGCUUCACAAGCUUUUUAUCCCAUGAGCUAACAACUGCAGACAUUCUACUGGGAGAUGUCCUAUAAAAUCUGAAGUACUUGGAGAUCCACAUUUUCUCUCAUCUGGCCUGUUCAAGUCAGAACUGUGGUGCAUCGGUGUUCUCAGAGAAACAGUUUUGGGUAAAGCAGCAUCCUCCUUUUGAGAAUGGUUUGAAUCCUCAUCUGUGUGUGAUGUCUCCUGAACAGCAGCUAUUUUUGACUUGGUCGAGGCACACGUGGGAGGAAAUGCCAGCUAUCUGCCUUCGGGGACUAGCUGUAACUUGCUUCCUUUGUUCUUAAGAAGCAGAUCCCCAGCUGGUGUGAAAUGGCAUUUCAGAAGUGCUACUCCUGUGAGGAGCCAGUCCUAAAGCCUGCCACACUGAUGGAGCCCUUUGCUCAGAAGCAAGUCUCUGGGCCAAAGUAUGUUUUACUUUACCCAGAAACAGUGAUGUUAUUUGAAAUCAAAGAGACUUUUAGGCUGAGGAAAGUGUGCUCAAUAUGUGAUUUUUAGGGUCAGAGAUAGAAUGAGAGAAUUUCCUUUUACUUCCUUCUCCUUUUUUAAAUCCCAGUUUACUCUGGAGGAAAAUGCAAUAGAAAGUAAUUUAUAAAGGGAUAGAGUGACUGCACGGAAAUUCUAGUCUGAAUUUGCCCCUUCGGUCCCUUUUGCAAAUGAAAUUAGUCAAUUAAGCAAGACAGGAUUGGCCCACAGGAUGGCUAUAGUUUAAAAUAUGUUUUUUCCCAUCACUUCUUUCUCACUCCAGCCACACAACAACACAAUAGCACAUGCAGAAAUGUUGAAGAUAUCUUCAUAAAACAACCCCUCAAAAAUGAAAACAAUAAAACCAGCCCCCUCCAAAACACACAUGCAUACAAAUCAAAAGAAAAAGUAAUCGGCCCAAAAAAGUGUCUCCUAAGUGUCAGUAUAAUGAAAAACCUUGACAACCAUCUGAAAACCCAUUCAAUACCCAGAUGCCUCUUCAUUUCAAGUUUUGGGAACAUUUACCUGCUUGUUCAAUAUACUGGGCUUAAAGCAUGCAAAAUGAUGCAACAGGAGGAGUUUGUGAAAACUCCUUAUUCCAAUCUCCAUUAUGAAUUCAGAAAGUGAAGUUUCGUAGAUCAGAUGUACAAGUUGCUUCCUUUUCUUUCCUCCUUGCUUCGCUCAGUCACCGUGCCUGUUUCCUAUCUAUUGAAAGUGAUUUUCUUUCAGGAUUUGAUCUUCACUGUGUUCUGCUGAUACAACAUGGCUCUACAAGUGCUGGAUAUUCUCAUUGUGAAAAAGAAUAUGCCUGAUUUAUGUAUUCUUUUAUUAUUAUUAUUAUUAUUAUUGUUGUUGUUGUUGUUAUUGUAAAUGGCCAAGCUUAAUUCAGCUGCAUUAUUUUGCUUCAUGAAGGGAAAUCAAGGUUUCCAAAUAAUCAUUUAUGCUCUUGGAAGUUUCUGGAAUCCUCCACACACCACAACGCAUUUAUAUACUGCUGGGGAAACGUAAGCCACGUAGCAUGUAUGCUGAAAGUCAAAACCUAGGACAUAUUUGUGUUCUAGUUCCAAGAACUGUCCUUUUCUGUGAUGGUCAAGCAGAAAGGGAACAGCAGUGAAGAUUUAUGAAAAUUUGUCUGCUCACCUGGGGAGAAAGGAACACUUUCUUGUUCUGGUCAAUGAUAUUUCAUCCUUUACACCAUUCUUAUGACUCAAGGCUGUCUACAACAUGAUAGUUUAAAAGGACUGUUCCUUCCUCGGGUGCAGCUCUGAUAUGGAUGCAUAAAUGCAUCAGAAUUUUGUUAAGUCUGAAACACACUCUUUCUCACAAUUUUUGAUGUUAAAGAUAGAGCUGUCUCUCGCAACACAACAGGCCUCAGACUUUCACAGCUCCAAGACAUAGAUGUCUGAUUACUUAAGCUCUAUUUGAAAUUAAAUUCCAGCCUCAGGGGCAUUUUGAUAAUAAAUUCAUUUAGGGAAGAAUUUUCUUUCAUAGACACAAACAUCCUCUGCAGCCAUGCUCUGUGCCUGUAUAUCUGCACAGAAAAUUUCAGGGUACUUUCCCCACAUUUCUUCUUCCUCUAUUCUGUUCUACAGUUUGCCUACCUGAUUCACCACUUCUUUUGGCAGGUAAUACCUUCCCGCACUUGACUUAGCUUUAUUGCACUUCCAAGUUUUCCUCCAGCUAAGCAUGUCUACAUCACUCCUUAAAUCUGCCUUGGAGGAUGCCAGUACAUCUGAGCCUCCUUUUCACCUCUUAAUCUUAGUCUCUUUUUCAUAGCAGUGCUGAGUGCUAAAAGUGACUUUUUUUUGCUUCUCCCCAGCAUCUUCCUUAUUUGAGGGAUGCAGAGAGAGGAAUUAGAAAGCAAGCUGGAAGUGAGACACACAGAGUUGACACUGGCUGAAUCCGGGUUCUCACUGAGCACCAUGGGUGGGGAGAAAGGAGAGUUCAAGACAACUCAUGGGUGAGUUUGGCCUGAGUCCUGAUCCCGAGCUGAUAGUUGUCACAUGUGGAAAAAAAGAGAAUUUCAGAAGAAAUAGAGAUUUUGCCUUCCUUGCAGAGAAAGAGGACAGGUAAAUAGAAUUUUAAAAAUGAGGCUGAGAGAAGUGAGUAUUCUGCUGGCAUUCAUUCCCCCAGGAAUCAUUUCUGAUCCUGUAGUUUUGUUUCUAACAAAUUUAGACCAUAUUUUCCUGUUGCUGUAUUUCAACCUUCAUUUGAUACCAGGCUACAGUGGCUUAUAACAGUGAUCAAAAUGAAUGUUGAAUUCCCAAGGACUUUACUGAGGUUGCUGUACCCAACACUUAGAAAAGCAUUUCAAAAAGGAGACUAAGGAUUAUUAUUCCCGUUUUAUGGAUACACUGUAAUAUUAUUGCAGACAUCAAAACAAAAGAUUGUCUUGCACAUAUUUCUUGUACAUAGGAAACCAAACAGAGAGGUGGAAAUCUCAAGAUAAAGGAUAUUCCAGCAAAUUUGUAGACUGCUUCCAGCAAAAAGAUAAGCGCUCCAUCUUCUGUGGUUUGCCUCCACUUGAUUUCACAGAUUAACCUCAGCCAGGAAAAGGCAGAGAACAUUGAUGAAGGACUUGCAGGAGUUUUCCUUGUAGCUAAAUUCUGCUAUCAACCACUUCUCAGGAAAUUUUGUUUACAGGGACCGGAGUUUAGCACUGCAUUUGCAUUCAAUGAUAAUGAUUUUCUUUUAGUCCAGCUGGGAUAACUGCAAAGAUAGUGCCCAACUGCAACUACAUCGAAGGGAGAGUGCAAAACAGAUUGCACUUCUAUGACAAGUGGAGCAGUGGGAAGGCAAAAUGAUCAAGAAAAAUCCUCACUGUUAGAGCCAUAACAACGACUCUCGAUUAUGCAGGUUCAAAUAACUUUGUGGCAGUGCCUUCUAUCCACUUUUAUUAUCAUUUCCAAGCAUGGCACUUUUUUUUUUUUUUUUUUUUUAAAGCAGGUAAAGCUUUGAAAAAAUAGCCCGGAUCUUUAGAUAGAAUUGAAUGUUCUGUGACUUUAAAUGAAAGCUCCACUGUUGUUGGGCAAAUAAAUUUAAACCACUUAACAUGGCAGAGAAGGUCAGGCAAGCUUAUUAUAGUGAUCAUAGCGUUACAGCUAUUGCGAUUGACCGCUGCUCUUUGGAAUCACCAAUAAUCAGAGGCCGCAAGCUGUGUUUGCAGAGAAAGGUCAUCAUUCAUUUUUUUCGAAGCAUUAAUAUCUUUUGUUUGUUUGGCUCAACAUGAAACAGGAAUCGAUAGAGGUAAUUCACAGAGCAAUUAGCCCCUCAUCUGUCAAACGGUGUCUGGGUGUAUUUAACAAAAAGACCUUUGGAAAGGUUUAAAAAGGAGGAAAGUGCCUGUACAAUCAACAAUUUAUAUUUUCUACGUGACACAUUGUGUAUGUAUCUGUGAAGAGAAGGGACCUUGGGACUAAAAAAAUAUACAUAAAACAUGCUGUAAAUCUGUACUCAGACUUUGAAAACCCACAGUGAGACAAACUGUUAACUGACUUGGAAAAGUUUUCCAUGCUGUUCUUAGCAAAGAUAAAAAUUUUCUAUCUGAGGCUCAGGGAACAAGUUAGACAGUUGUUCAAAAACUUGUUGGAUUAAUUACAUGAAAGAGAAUGAGACUCUCUGUAAAACAUAUGAGGGCAGAGACAGAGGCAAAAGGUCUCUUGCAGCCCCGCUCUUGCAGUUCAGGGUAUUUCAAGUCUCUCUCCUUUUUUCCUUUCUUUCUUUUAUUUUUUAUUAAUUUCCCAAAGACUUUUCUGUACUGGGACACUUGGGAGAGUUAGGAAAAUGGAGAAAAAGCUCUGAAAUCAGAAGAUAAGUUAUUGCUCUGUUACACUUAUGCAGCCUUUAUAUAAGCACUGGUGAACUCUCAAAUUUGAGAGACUAAAGUGGUCUGGGAGGAAAAAGCUACAGCAGAUCAAGGCCACUUUAUUUCCGAAUAUGAGUGUCUCCCAGGGGAUUUAAUACACUUAAAGAGCUGGAUGUACAAUAUCUGUGUUUGGUGGUAGAAGACUGGCAAGGAGCACACAGACUAUUAAAAGAAGGGUGUAUUUUAGAGGUAUCAUAAAAGGUUUGGAGGUUGUCCCAGAAGUUCAGAUGCUUAUUCCAGAUAAAAAUUUGGCUAUCUCAGCCUCCAAAGAAUAAGUAGCUGGACUUUAUUAGAUGAGUAACUGGAGGGUAAGUUUUGCUCAGUUUUUUGUCUCAUUGCUGAAAUUCAAUAUAGCAUCAGGGAGUUGGUGGAAGCUAAAACCUCCUCCGGAGUUCACGACAGUUAAAGUGGAUUUUUAAAGUCUCACCAGACAGCUUAGGAUUUUUAUUAAUUGGUACUUUCAUAUUCUUGCUGAUUUUUCACCUUUCCUGGAGCAUUAAAGUUUUUCCUUAUUUCUUUGUCUUAAGGCACAGAAAGUGCUGUGGAGGCCACCAAUAGAUAACAGGGUUAGUUUUGCUUAAUUGAAGCCUUCAGUUGAAUCUUUGAUGCUGUAGGCCUGUGAGACUGUGCAUACAAUUCAGUAUGUUUCUAGCAGGAUAGUAUACACCAAGGUCUUCAGGUAUGGAAAGGUGUGUUAAGCCAUUUUUCCUACUAUGUCAGGUUCUCAUCAUGUUCCUUAAAGUAUCAACCCUGUAUCAUUGUCAAAAGCACCAAAGAAACAUGAUGGAAAAGCAAUAAAAAAAAAAACAAACAACUUCUUAGGCACUGUUGAUACUUCAAAGUUGCUUCUGGUUUCUAUUUAUUUUCCUUUAUCUGAGUCGUACUUGUUUUCAACCAAAAUUUAUAUGAUUUUGUUUUGAGCUUUUUAUUAACCAAAAAUACUGGCUGAAAUUGAGACUUACUUUAUAGAUGCUCAAUUUAAAUUGCAGUGAAAUUGGGAGAUUUUAUUCAUGACAUCAAAAAGCCCAUCAGCGAUCAGUGAAGCUUUAGUCAGAUAUUGUGAGAAUAACAUGAAAAAUUCAAAUGUUAUUGUUCUAGCAAGGAUGUGUUAUUUAAUUCCAAAGAAAAUGUAGACUAAAAUAUUCCAGCUAUCUUUCCAUUAGCUAGAUCUUAAGCUUUUUUUUAAUCUUCAAAAUUCAAUUUAUAUAGUGAACUACAAAAUCAUAAAUGAAUUGAAUUUUGCUCUCUCAAUCGAUUUUCUAAUCAUCUGAUCACCAUGUCACAUUUCUAGUACUGCAACAUUAUUUGACAACUGUUUUGGAAGUUUCUCAGCUUCUUUAUUUUAUUUUCCUCCUAGAUACCGUCCUAAGUCCCAACAGCAAUUCUGGGCUUCAGCUAAGAACAGAUAAACCAAAACCCCUUUGUUAGUCCAUACAGGCCUUUAAAAUAAUAUUAGAAGCUAAAAAGCCAAUGAAUUUUCUCAAGUAUUUCACUGAUUCAUGACAUAUUUUAUUUUAUGGUGCUGCUCAGACAGUUUGAGAAACUUUAUUAAAAAUACUUUCAAAUUCGAGGGCAAUCAGUGGUCUGUGAGAUUAUGGCAGGUGGCCUUCAAAGUGCUAUUAUCUUUGUGCUCAAACUUCUAUUAUCUUUGUGGUGUUUUUUCAAUUAAAAGCUUGAUUAAGUAUGCUUGGUGGUUCAUGACAAAUCUGGAGUGCUGACACUGCUCUGUUUGCCCCCAGAGUGUGAGAAUCUAUGCUCUAGAAGAGGAUUAUAUUCCUUUUGCUUUUAAUAAUGGUGAGUUAAAUUCUUGCAGUGUCUUCUGUGAUUUUUCUCUGAUUUUAUGAAUCUAUUCUUAGAUUUAGCAAGAUGGAUAGGCUGCCGGGGACUGUGUUACUCUGUUAUUGUCACUGAGGUAGGAUAGUCCAUCAGCAAAACACCUCUUAAAUAUCAGUCCUGGCUACCAUCCAGUGAAAACCAAGACAUGCUAUUGAACAACACUUAGGACCAAAUCUUUCUUCCUCCUCUGCCACCACUAAGCAAAUUCGUUAAAGGUCUUGGCCUGUAUUUAAAAUAACAUGAGCUUAAAGAACUUGCUGGUGUUUCAUCUUAGAAGACAUUAAGUGUUAGAGGAAAGGCCAAAAAAUUGUUGGCAGACUCUUCAUCCAAGAAGUUCAAAGAUGGUGUUGAUACCUAAAUGUCCAAUCCAUCCUUGCACAUCUGUUUGCCAGGCAACUUGUCUAAAGAGCUGGGCAAGAUUUUCAAAGAAGCAAAUGGCAGUGAGAUGCCUGACUACCAUUUGUGCUUUUGAAAAAUCUACCUCCUUGUCUGCAGUGACAUUUCCCUGAAAAUUUACCAUCAGUGGUAAGAAUAAAUGGUUUUGACAGUCACUCAACAACUGCAAGCAAUUAGAACCAUCUAGAUCUGCAUUGACUCUACAUGCCACAGCAUUUAAAACACCGUCAGUCAGUUUGUUAGCACUCCCACUGGUGAGCACAAUCUCUGUCUCUAUCUCUGAAACGUUUCCAGGUAAGGCAGUUAUGAAUAAUUGCUGUUCCAAACAAAGUUAAAAAAGAGGUGGAGACCUUUGUGCCUCACAAGAUAAAGGGAAAACAGAGCAUGGAAAGUCAGCAAAAACCAAAGAAGUUCAAGAGAGAAAGACAAAGGUUAUUUAGUGGAUUUGCAGUAGUAUUUUUACACGUUGCAGCAAGUCAGAACUGGAAAUGAAUGAGUUUAAGAUAUGCUGUCAUUCAAAAAAGAAACAAAGUAGUAAUUGCUAUUUGGCAUCACGUUUUUGUUUAUAUUUAUGACUGAGUUUCUUAAAAGCCAGACUUCCUAUUCAUGUGCAGGUUUCCUUAAAUAGUUUUAAACAAAACAAUUAAACUUUCAUUCAUGGAUAUAAUCUAAUAGGAAGGAAUUCUUCUGUCACAUUGUUUUAUGCUCUUGAUGAAGAAAAUAUACAAAUUAGCUUUAUAAAUGUUUUAGGAAAAUAAAACCCUAUAGACAGUAGCUCUAAAAAAUGACUCUCACUAUAUCCCUGAAUGGUAAGAGAUAGCAAAUUUUUAUUUUUUUAUUUUUUGCAACUUCAGCAGCUGCAUUUUCUUAGCUGGGAGCAACAUAUCUUGGAAAUUAGAAAAGGGAUAUUUAUCUCUUUUACAAAGGCCCAGAGUACACCUGCUCUUUAUCUCAAGGACCUGUCCAAGGGUAACUUCAAGACCGGUCUCUUUUUCCAGACGAUUGGCAAAUUUUCAAGUUUGACCUUAGGAAGAGUCAAGGGUAUGUGCCUAGUUGCACCGAGCAAGCACAGCAGCUGGAAGUCAGUUUUCAGCCUUGUGCUGGACCAUGGAGCAUCCUGAGCUUACAAGUAUUUCUGCAGUGACUCAUAAAAUAACAGAAGCUUAAGAAAUUUGAAUGGUCUGUCUUUGAGGACUAUAAAUUUUAAAGGAAAGAGCAGACGAAGUGUAGAGAUAGUAAUGGAGUUUGGCACAGUGAACCUAUAGCAGAGGCAGAAAGUGAACCAAAUUCCAAGGCAGGGAAUGUUACAGUGGUUGAUUUAGGAGUAAGUAAAGUUUUUCCACAAAUCAUUUUGGCUUUGAAAAGCAUAUUUUAUUGAAGUGUUUCCAGUUAGUUGUGCAAGUGUCAAGCCAUGUCCUAAUAUCUUCUAUUCAAGUAAAAAGUGAAUGGAUAGUAUAGAGUAGCUUCUAUGGUAAGCUCAGUAGAUAUCGGAUAGAGAGAAGUACUUGGACCAAACCUCAGGCCGAGAUUAGGAGAAAGCCACACUUGCUUUCUACUGGAGCCAGAUCGGGUACUUCUGUACUGCCAUUAGUGUGGAAAUGCUUAUGUAGAUUGCUUUCAGAGCCUCUGUGAAGCUCUACAGAGGUUAGGCCAGUCAUUUAUCAAGAUCCUGGCAAAUAAGGAUUUCUUACUGUUAAAUUUUUAUGGGCCUUCGUGUAACGAGUCAUAGGCUGCAGUCUAAUCUGCACAAUAGAGUGUAUUUUCAGAGAGUCCUCUCUUUGGACCGGAUUUUCAAAAGGACCUUAAUGAGCUACACUUUUUUUUCAGAGAUUUGAGUGACUUUAAAAAUCACAUUCUUUGAGAUAUGGAUUUCAGAAAAUAUUCAAGCUGAUUUGAAGGAUAAAGUGCUUCUCACAACAAACGCAGCUUGGAGAUUCUGCCCAGGCUUCUUUCUCUUUUAGUGAGUUGCCAGAAUGUUCUCUCAAACUAAGAUAGGACCCAGCGGGGUCUGGCUAUCGGUUACCAUCUCCAACUUACUGCAAGGAUAGAAUGUUUUGCUUUGAUUUGGGUGUUGGCUUGUUUGUUUGUUUGUUUGUUUUUGUUGUUUUCUUUUUUUAAUUAUUAUUUUUUAAAUAAAAAUCUGUUAGAAGAACACUGUUAACUCACCUAUGGGGAGAUUCAGGUUGGACGUUAGGAAAUACUGUUUUUCCAAAAGAGUGGCCAGGUGCUGGAAUGGGCUGCCCAGGGGGGUGAUGGAAUCACUGACCCUGCAGGUGUUCAGCAUUUAGACGCUGCACUGAGACACGGUUUAGUGAGAACUAAUGGUGAUAGGCAGGUGGUUGGAUUGGAUGAUCUUGUAGGUCUUUUCCAGCCUUAGUGAUUCUAUGAUACUAAGACUUGUACUUGAGAAUCUGCCAUUUUGCUGUCACACUUCUCAAAUUUAUUACUGACCACUCAUAUAUAGUUGCUGUUAAUGUUAGUUUAGUUAAUGUCUUGUAUGGGAACUGUUAGGUCAUGGCCUGAACCAUUGAUUGAGCACCUGGUGGAGGGGUGUAACCAGCCCUGGGAGCACAGGUGGAAGCAAUCUACCUCAUUUAAGGGCUGGCAGCCACAAGGGAAGCUUUUCUACUUGGAGAUCACCUUGUUUGGAGCAUUUGGUGAGCCUUGAUCCCUGGAAAAGGGUAAGUGAUUUCUUUCUUUGUUAUCAGAUUGCUACUGCUGCUUUUUUUUGGGAGAUUCAAAACUGGUUUAAAGUAGCUGUAUCUGCUGUCUCUUGUUGUUGUGCUUCUCCUGUGGACUCAUUGGUUUUUAGUGCUCUGUUUUUGCUGAGGAAUUAUGUGAAUGUCUGAUAUGUAAACAGAACUUGUUUUUCAGUUCCUGUGCUACAAAGCUGUCAUGGAAUUUAACUUUUUAUUAGCUUCGUCUCUAUUAGGCUACUGUUUUCAUGUGCGCUUGUUUAUGAUUGUUCUGAAACUUUCUUAAAGAUGCCUUCCUGUGCUCCUUCAUGUAUGAGGUCUUGAUAUCUUCCUCGAGCCCCUUCUCUCCCUUGCAGGUGUAUCUGCUUUGAGAUUUGAUCUAUCUACUCCCAGUUGGUAUCUUGUGGCAAAUCAUUUUUCUGUGCUAUUGCCAAGCACAGCUAAGUGAAAACAUGCUUUGGGUGGGAAAGGAAAUCUAGUUAUAAGUUAAGUGGAAGCAAAAUUAAGGACCUGCUAAUAGAACUAGAUUUUCUUGACAUUUUUAGUCAAUGCAAAAAUAAUUGUGGGAAUAUAAAAGGUUUUUUAUGGUCAAUUAUUCUUGUCUUCGUAAGUAUCUAUAAUCAUAACCACCUCUGAAUAGGUAAUAAUCCUCAAUGGGGAGAAGAGAAACUUCCCUGCAGGAUCAUAAGGAAGGUAAAACAUUAUCACAUGCAUGCAUAAAAUAUAUUAAUAUUGAGAUGGUGCCAUUGCUAAGGUCAGAUGGUCAGACAUCUUUUCUUCUCCUGAAUAUAUGCCAUUCCACCUUAUUGGACUGCUCACAUCCAAUUGCUCUUUGGCAAUUACAAGUGCACCUAAAUGUUUCGGAUAAUAGGUAUUACAGUAUUAGGUAAAAGCUUCCUAGAAGUCUCAAGCAAUACCAAAAGAAGUGUAAAUUGUAGAACAGGGAAGGUGGAGAUGACGCCAGGAAGCAUUGAAUGGGGUGUCAUUUUGCAUUUAGAAAGACAGCUGAAAAAGUUAAAAUGAAAGAAAGGGGAAGAUGCUUCCCCUAGUGUUUUCAGCAGGUGCUCUUAAAGGUUUAUAAAUGAUUUCUUGGCAAAAAAUGAGUUUCUCUUGGGUUCCAGGCACUGUUUAUUAUCUCAGAAGGAGACAAGGAGGAAAAUAUGAUGAAAAAGUUUUACAAGUUUUGCUUAUUUGAACAUAAAAUCUUCCCAUCAGCAGCGUAAUGAGAAUGCACUAUGCACCUCAGCCAGAUGUUGACAUGUUAGUUUUUUUCACAAGGCCUUUCACCAAGUGAGGAGUAUAAUGAAAUUUUCUGGGUGAAAAUUCUCCUGGAAUCUGAAUGGAGUGACAUUGUUAUCCCACACAUUGUGCUUGGGAAAUCCAAAUUACUCCUGGUAGUGAAAGGGGAAAGGGAAGCAUGUUCUGUAAAUAGGGAGCUUGAACCCAGAUUCUCUGGCUGCCACCCAGAUGUCUCUCAGUACAAAUGGGCUCAUCUGAUCUCUCUAGUCAAUUUUAUUCUGGAAAGUAGCCAGUGGGCCUAGUUCAUGACCCAGUGAUGUCAUUAUAAUUCAUUUUUGCUCACCACCAAGCCUUCUGAACUUUCCGUUUUACAAUGGGUCUCUUUAAUAAAGAAGGCAGUCAUGAAUAGAAUUCAUAAGCACUCCCAAUGAUUUAUAAUCUUUUUCUUUUAAUCUUUAAAAUGGACAAUCGUGCCUUCUCUAUCAAAACUGCUUAGGGAGGUUUAUUCCUUCUGUCAUAAAACACUAUAGUUUUUAUAGGUAAAAUGAAUACUAUUGCCACCUACUUAAAAAGGGGAGCUCUUGUGAAUAUAAAAAGUCCUCUUCUGAUUCAGCAGCAGACGUUUACUGUAAUAAAGCGCUGGUUACUCUAUCAGAGGUUCUCUGGUUAUGGCAAAGGUGUGGAGCCUUUUAUUGGAGUGACGGGAGAGCUUUUCAUCAUCACUGAGGUUCUGUGGCUUGCAUGGCACGAUGCGAGCAUGCCAGAGGAGACCCAAACACCUGUGGCAUGUGUAACCCGCAGCCUGUACCUGCACAAACAAGACAUUGCUGAACUUGGCUCCAGCGCCCUCCCUAAGCCUUGCCUUGUUGAACUUGUUUAACCCCUCCCAGCUAAAAUAAACUUUCCUGAAAUUACUUCACUUAUCCUCGGCAUGGAUCUUUUCACCCCUGGGUUGUAGGAGCUGAGUGGAUGAUCAAUGCAUUUGCAGCCUGCACUGUAAUUUAACUUGCUGUGUCUGACAGGAGAUGUGGAAUUGCUAAAGAGAGGCUUUACUUGUAAUCUUCUUAUCAUCUUAUCCUGGAGUGUUUGUGAAGGGGGAGGCCUUUCCAGCAGGGACUCAGAGUUGAGGGUUAAUGCUGAGAAAGAGAAAUUGCCCUGUAGUGCGGCUGACUCGGUGACCUGAUAAAACAUGCUCUGGACAGCUCAUGAACUCUAGCCUCUAACUACACACUGCACUCGGGCUUCCUGCACUAACAUCAUUUGCCUUCCUCCCAUAAGCUCAUUAAGAAAAAUCACUGGUUGUAAAUAUGAUGAGGAAGGGGGGGAAAAAAAAAAAGCAAAUCUUUUCUCUCUCUCAUUUUUUUCUCUUUUUCAUCACUGAUGCUAUUUCAGAUCUUCUCGUCAGAGCAAUAAUUAGCGCGUGUCUUGUGUGAUUAAUGAAAAUGAAAUUAAUUGCUCGGCAAUACUAAGAGCUAGAAGAAGGCGAGGGAGAAAAGGUGCAGGAAGUCAGGUACAGUAGAUCCUAGAAAGGGGGCGUAAGUUAAGUAAUUGAAGGAAUGGAGAGAACGUGAGGACUGAAAAGAGAGGCAGGAGUUCAGAGGUGUUGAGAGUGAUAAAAGAGAACAGAUGCAUUGCAUGUAUUAGAAACCCAGGCAUCUGGAUAUGAAAAAAGAAUUGCUGACUUCUAACUGGAGCUGUGCAAUACAGUUGUUGCACAGCAUCAGCUCAAUUGCUUCUUUGAGGAGUAAGCAGAAGGAAGGGAAUGGUCCUGCCAAGCUCCUGGUGCUGUCUGUGGAAACCCUUCUAUUUCUUUUACAAAGAGCUGGAUAAAGCUCUAGGAGAAGGGAAGUAAGAGUGACCAGAGGGAGAAACGCAGACAGCUAGUAAAGUGGAGAGGGAAGGAGAAGUGGGAUUUCAGGGUUAAUCAAGAAGCCUAAUGGUAAGCAGUGACAAGCCAUGAAAACCAGUUUUUGUAGCAUAACAUCCUGCAGACAUAAGUGAAAUGUCUUAAAGCUUUCACAUGCAGUCAUACUGUAAAGUUGAUAAUCCUACAGAAGCGCAUGGAAUUAAUUAAAACUCCUUUAAAGGGCUAUUAAGGGGAAUUCCAACUUCUUUACUGUCUGAGUGCUGUUUCACACAGUUGUUAUUGAUUAGAUUUGAGUUGUAAAGUGGUUUGUAAGAAUUAGGGAAGGGCAAAUGGUUUAGAAAUAGACACGGUGGGUGUUCAGACUGGAGCAGACCAAACUUAUAUAAUAAUACAGUAAUCAUAAAUAUUUAUUUCUCUCAUUUGAGAGGGGAAGAGGGAAGGAAAAAUAAUCCCAUUGAGUGAACUUCAGAGAAAUCUUCCAAUAAGUCCUUUCCCGCAUCUGAGAUUUUAUUUUUUCUAGGAAGAGGCUGUCAGAUCUGAAGGCUGUGAGCUUCAUGCAAUGCCUGUGGCCCAUGAAACCAUAGGUGCCUGUGAUAGGAAAUGUACUCCUAGGUGAGACUGCUUCUGAUCCUAGACUUAGUCUGGUUUAAUUAGUACCAGGUUUGAUAUGGAAGUUGCUCUCAAUCCUCAGUGUGAUGAGUUCUUCAUAAAGGAGUUGUUAGGUGUCGGUGAAUGGGAUCUGUGUACAUGAUAAAUAUGUAGCUAAGUUUAUUGUAUAUUUAAAUGCAAGUAAAAGUCUAAUAAGCAUAAGACUUUCAAAACAUAGUACCAUCACACUGCCUUGUGCAGAUUUAGCCAUUUUCUUCCUCAUGCUUGUUACUUCAAGCUGAGCUGUUGAAAUACCUCCUAUAAGUCCAAAGAAACUAGAGUAACAAGUGUCAUAUGUUGAAUCGCCUCUCCUUUGCUAACCUAAGUAAACUUUUGUGGUAUAUGUUUGUUUCCCUUCUUUUAUACAUAGAUAUUACACAAUAUGUCUGUGCAAGGAGUGCUUUGGUUAAAUACAAUUUACAGCUGCUGGAGGCAGCUUCAGUGCACGAUAAUAAAAUUAAUGGAUUAAUCAUUUUUUAAAACUGUUUUAGGAGUUUGCUUCUCCAUUCCUUUAUAAGAAAAUUGUUUCAAGAACAUCUCUUUUCUAAUAAUUAGGAACUUUACUCUAAUUUCAAGCCUUAGGGUGCAUGAAGUUAGGCUAAAAUACUUUUUCUUGUGUCAGUGUAGUGCAUAAAGUUUUUGCUCUCAUAUCAACUUCUUCCCGUUGUAUUAAUAGAGUACUGUAUUAAUAAUUAAUACACUUUCUCAGGCAGCAUUUUGCUAGAUGAAGCAAGCUGUAUCCUCUUUUUCUUGUCAGGCUGUUUAUACAGCAGGAUUUCAAGUAUGUAAGAACAGUUGUCCCUGUGUAUCCUAAGAGACAUCCUAAGUUGCUUACAAUGUAAGUGUGAAGCCUUGGGGAAGCAGCCUUCCUUCUUUCUAAUCCAGCAAAAUACAGAGUAGAUGCAUAGGUGGUCUUAUGAAAAUAGACUUUGUGCCCAAGCUUAGGUGCAACCCAAUGCUAAACUUACCCUUGGAUUCUGGCAGAGCAAGUCAAAUGCAAGAUUUAGGGUAAAGGAAUGCUGACCUGUUUAUGACUUCAAGGAAGAAGUAAAUUCGGAGUAGUGGGAAAUAUUGCAAUCUGUCAGUCUGAUUACCAACCCACACUUCUCUAUGCGUUUCAGCCAUCACUACCAGCAGCAAUCCAUCUUGUAUCAUGACCCUAACCUUGUUAUCUUUCAAGGUUUUGAGACAUGGGGUGCACAGAGAACUUUCUCUUUCUGGAUUCCCAUGACAAGAGCUGUUCUUUUUCUUCCCCCUCAUCCAUCAUAUUUCACAGAAGAUCCUUAAAUACAUCUAGAGUUUGCAAAGCUACCAGUUUUUUUGCUUUACAAGUAUUUAUGUUGCAAACAAAAAAACCUGAUGCUAAAAUCUCACCAUUCCUUUUGGCGAAAACUGAAAUAAUUGCUUAGUGGAAGGAACUGUGAAUUUUCACAGUUUUAUUCUGGGACUGAAUUUUGGCCAUUUUUGCAGUGUGUUUUUUGUAUGCGUGUCUGCUUUCAGGCCUGGAGGAAACGCACCUCUUAUUUAACAGGAAGUCAUGGAAAAACUUUCAGGCAAAGUGACCCGAACUACUUUGAUUUUCAUCAAUCUGAUUGGUUUGACCUUUGCUGCUAGUGAUUGAAAAGCACAAAAUUUGAAUUAGAGGCUCUACAGACUCUGGGCGUUAGAGCUAUUGAGUUGCCCCCAAACGACCAAGCAGUUCCAACUUCCUCAUGACAAAUGGUGCAGUCUUCUAUUUUUUUUUUUUUUUAAACAAUUUUUUAGUUGGGAUGUAUUUUUAAGGCAAGUUAGAAUUUUAAAAGUCACCUUAAUUUCCACAGAAAUUUGAAGUUAUCCUCAAUUAAGAAGAAAUCUUAAGAAGGAACUCCUUGUGUUCAGGAGAGCUGUCUGGCAGCAUUUCCAGAGCACAGUAGCAUUUCAAAGACAAAAUCGACCAAAGAAGAGACCACAAAAUUAAUCUAAGCUGGUGCAUUAGAUAGCACUUGCUUGACAUUUGCUACUCCUUUCAGGCCUAAUAGAGAGAUUUUUACCUGUAUUUGCCUAUUCAACAUAUCAGCCCCUCAGCCAAUUUUGGAAAUUAUUUCUGAUUUAUGUCUCUCAUUCUGGCGAGUGUCGCCUCAACCUGUCAAUUAUCCUUCAAAGCAAAUGCUAAGUGAAUGCUAGCUGGGUAAAAUUAAUAAACGGAACCUUUACUUUAAAAAAAAAAAAAAAAGCAUGAAGACAGACUUAUGAAAGGGAUAA